CUGGGGGCACAUCCCGCAUGGCGAUGCCACCCAUGCCAUGGAGACAAGCUGGUGGCCCUGGAGCCAUCCCAGACCCGGGAUGCCAUGGCUGUGCCGUGUCCUGGGUCGCUGGCACCGAGCUCGAGCGGGAUCGAGGAAGAACCCGGCUCAAAAUCCCGGUCAUGGCCGUGGGUGCCCCCCAGCAGCUCAGCUUGGGAGGAGGAAGAGGAUGGUGGAGGCCAGGGCUGUGUUUUUGGGGAGCAGAGACAACACACUGGGGUUGUAGGAGUGCAUGGACCGCUGGGCAGGGGGAGAGCAGCCUUGGGCGCGGCUGGAGCUGCUCUGGCACCCAGUUUUCUGCCCAGGGACCCCCCAGCUGAGCGCCCCCGAUCCUCCCUUGCCCCGCAGAUGGUCCCUGGGAGUCGGCCGAGAGCUGCAUCGUGCGCAGCUCCGCCAGCGUCUACCGCCGGCUGCAGGAGAGCCCGCGGCAGCCCCGGCGGGGAAUGAGCACUCGCGGACCCCCCAGCAGCCCCCCGGCCGCAGGGAGACCCCCCAAGUCCGAGUCCGAGGAUUCCGGCGUGGAGACGGCCAGCAACGAGCACUCACCCCGCAGCCCGCUGGGCUCCGAGAGCCGCUUCUCCCUGGAUGGUUUCUCGUCGGAGCGGCCCCCCAAAGAGGAGCAGCCCCCCGGAGAUGAGCAGCAGCCCCCCAAGAGCCGCCCGGGCAGCCGGAGGCUGCUGCAGGCAGCGCAGCGGAGCCGGAGGCAGCGCUGCCCGCGACAGCUCAGCCGGCGCAGCGCCAGCGCCGCCGACCUGGCCGAGCCCCCCCGGGACCCCGAGUGGGCCGAGGGGUCUCCUCGGGACCCCCGGGCCGUGCCCGAGCUGCCGGGGCAGGGGCUGCGCUACCUGGAGCACGUGUGCCAGAUGCUGGAGCGCCUGGCGAGGCUGCAGCAGGACAACCGCGCCCUGCGGCAGCAGGCGGCCGGAGCCCGCACCGCCUCCCUGGUGAGGGCCCGGGCAGGGGGAUGGCGGGGAGGGGGCGCGGGGGUCCCGGCUCACACCCAGCUCACAGCCUGCCCGCGCUCUGCUCGCCCCCAGCCCGGCCGGCAGCAGCCCAGGAGGGAUUUGGGCACCUGGAGGGGCGAAGGGUUCCGGCAGCGCUCCUGCUCCGACAGCCAGGCACCAGGUGAGAGGGGUGGGCUCGGGAAUGAUGGGGUCUGGGGCCAGGUGAGAGGGGUGGGAUGGCGGGGCCUGGGGCCAGGUGAGAGGGGUGGGCUCGGGAAUGGCAGCACCGGUGCCAGGUGAAUGGGCUGGGAUGGCAGAACCUGGCAUCGGGUGAGCGGGGUGGGCUCGGGAGUGACGGGACCUGGGGUCAGGUGAGGGGGGUGAGCUCGGGAAUGAUGGGAUCAGGGGCCAGGAGAGAGGGGUGGGCUCGGGAAUGGCGGGAUCUGGGGCCAGGUGAGAGGGGUGGGCUCGGGAAUGGCAGCGCCGGUGCCAGGUGAAUGGGCUGGGAUGGCAGAACCUGGCAUCAGGUGAGCGGGGUGGGCUCGGGAGUGACGGGACCUGGGGUCAGGUGAGCAUUGGGGAUGCAGGAAUGGCAGGACCUGGCACCAGGUGAAUGGGCUGGGAUGGCGGGACCUGGAGCCAGGUGGGCACUGGGGGAUGCAGGAAUUGCAGCACCAGUGCCAGGUGAAUGGGCUGGGAUGGCAGAACCUGGCACCAGGUGAGCGGGGUGGGCUCGGGAAUGGAGGGACCUGGGGCCAGGUGAGCACAGAGGAUGAGGAAAUGGCGGCACCAGUGCCAGGUGAAUGGGGUGGGAUGGUGGGACCUGGGGCCAGGUGAGCGGGGUGGGCUCGGGAAUGAGGGGAUCUGGGGCCAGGUGAGCAUUGGGGCAUGAGGGAAUGGCAGUACUGGUGCCAGGUGAGCGGGGUGGGCUAAGGAAUGGCAGCGCCAGUGCCAGGUGAGCGGGCUGGGAUGGCGGCACCAGGUGAGGGGGGGCAGCACAUGGCAUGGCAGCACGGUGCCCCGCCGGCCCCCGAGCCUGACCAGCUCCGUUCCCCCUGGCAGCAGCCGAGCCCGGGCCGUGCCGGCGGCUCUGGGGACACUCGGUCAGCUCGCCCAGCCUGCUGGAGCCCGCCGAGGGCGGCGCCAAUGGCCUGGCACCGGAGCAGGUACG